rnacentral:lncRNA from 1 species
GCCACAGUUUAUUGGGACAAAAUGAAGCUACAAAAACUACCUGUUGCAAAAAAUGGGUCAAAACAAUUAAUAAUGAUUAAAAAACUAAAUAAAAUGAUGAGUUCUGUGAUUACCAGAGUUCAAAGGUGCGCUACAGCUCAAGUGGAUUUUGCUUUGUCCAACCACCCACAGUGGGAAUGGGCACUAGGUGGGCAAAAUUUCUAGCUUGUCCACUUUGCCCACCAAUAGGAGUGGGCAUGCAAUUUCUUUUGUUGAAUCAAAAGACUUGCAAGUACAAUUAAUUUAAAAAAGCAGAUAAGCAUUUAUAAUUAAUAUUUAAAAAAAAUUAAUAGAUUAUGGCUAAACAUGCUAAAGUGGGCACAGGUGGACUGUCCACUGUGGGCAGGUGGAAAAAGCAAAAUCCACAUGUGCUGUUAUGUAUGUCUGAUGACAUGACUGCCACAGAAAAAAAGGCAAUUAAUAGGAUUCACAUGAAAACAGUCCAAUUCUACCAGCUCUCAUCAUUAAUAAUUUUUCCUCCAAUAUUCUUAUACUUUUAUUAAUAAUGUACUCUUUCCAUGAACCACACCACCUAGGUAAUGUUUGGGUGCAGUAGGUCCUUGGUUUGUUCCUUGUCCUUGUCAAACCAAAGACGUAAACUAAGUUCUUAUCAAUUCUUCCUUAUAGGUGCAGGGGUGGAUCCAGAUAUUUUCAAAAGGGGUUCCUAACCCAGGAUAAAAUGGGAGGGGAGGUUCAAAAUUAUAACUGAUGUAUCUCUCCUUCAUUCAAGGAAACUACAUAUUUUGAACAAAUAACCAUAAUUUAUUAGAAAAAAGUUUUUUAAUCAAUGGUAAAAUGCCAAAUCUGAAAACUAAAUUGAAUACUGUUAACCCAAAUUUUCAUGUGUAAUUUAUACACAACUAAUGUGAGAACGAAAGUAACUUGAAUAUAGAUGCAACAAAUUAGGAUCUUCUUUUAUAUAAAUAAAUAAACAAUGUUUGAAAAUCUAUAAAAAUUGGAUACAGCAAAGUAUCUUAGUGAGGUUAGACGUGGAAAGUAUACCCACAAAUAUAAUCUGGUUACAAUAUUCCUUUGAGGUUUCAUAUAAAUGUCUGGUAGGUUUGAUUACUAAGAAACCAACUAAGGCUUCAAGUUCUAUAAAUAUGUUAGGAUUUUCUAUUUAAAAAAAAAAUAACUGCCAAAUUUGAGGUGUUUUUUUCUUCAUAUUACCAUAUUCCCAUCUUCCAAGUAAAGUUGUCGUUCAAUCUUAAUAAAAAACCUAAAUUAAUUUGGACAGAGGAAUAAUGUAGAUCAGCUGUAUGAAUUUUGGACCAUACUGUAGAAUGCUUAAGAUACAAAAAUUUCAGCA